GAUGAACGCUGGCGGCGUGCCUAAUACAUGCAAGUCGAGCGAACAGAUGAGGGGCUUGCUCCUCUGACGUUAGCGGCGGAAGGGUGAGUAACACGUGGAUAACCUACCUAUAAGACUGGGAUAACUUCGGGAAACCGGAGCUAAUACCGGAUAAUAUAUUGAACCGCAUGGUUCAAUAGUGAAAGACGGUUUUGCUGUCACUUAUAUAUGGAUCCGCGCCGCAUUAGCUAGUUGGUAAGGUAACGGCUUACCAAGGCAACGAUGCGUAGCCGACCUGAGAGGGUGAUCGGCCACACUGGAACUGAGACACGGUCCAGACUCCUACGGGAGGCAGCAGUAGGGAAUCUUCCGCAAUGGGCGAAAGCCUGACGGAGCAACGCCGCGUGAGUGAUGAAGGUCUUCGGAUCGUAAAACUCUGUUAUUAGGGAAGAACAAAUGUGUAAGUAACUAUGCACGUCUUGACGGUACCUAAUCAGAAAGCCACGGCUAACUACGUG
rnacentral:rRNA from 1 species